rnacentral:rRNA from 1 species
GAGUUUGAUCCUGGCUCGGGACGAACGCUGGCGGCGUGCCUAAUACAUGCAAGUCGAGCGGAUUUAUCCUUCGGGAUAAGUUAGCGGCGGACGGGUGAGUAACACGUAGGCAACCUGCCUAUAAGACUGGGAUAACUAUCGGAAACGAUAGCUAAGACCGGAUAACUGAUUUCUCGCAUGAGAAAAUUAUGAAACACGGAGCAAUCUGUGGCUUAUAGAUGGGCCUGCGGCGCAUUAGCUAGUUGGUAGGGUAACGGCCUACCAAGGCGACGAUGCGUAGCCGACCUGAGAGGGUGAACGGCCACACUGGGACUGAGACACGGCCCAGACUCCUACGGGAGGCAGCAGUAGGGAAUCUUCCGCAAUGGACGCAAGUCUGACGGAGCAACGCCGCGUGAGUGAUGAAGGUUUUCGGAUCGUAAAGCUCUGUUGCCCUAGACGAACAGCAAGAGGAGUAACUGCCUUUUGUGUGACGGUAUAGGAGAAGAAAGCCCCGGCUAACUACGUGCCAGCAGCCGCGGUAAUACGUAGGGGGCAAGCGUUGUCCGGAAUUAUUGGGCGUGAAACGCGCGCAGGCGGUCAAUUAAGUUGGGUGUUUAAGCCCGGGGCUCAACCCCGGUUCGCAUCCAAAACUGGUCGACUUGAGUGUAGGAGAGGAAAGUGGAAUUCCACGUGUAGCGGUGAAAUGCGUAGAGAUGUGGAGGAACACCAGUGGCGAAGGCGACUUUCUGGCCUAUAACUGACGCUGAGGCGCGAAAGCGUGGGGAGCNAACAGGAUUAGAUACCCUGGUAGUCCACGCCGUAAAC